AGUGAACGCUGGCGGUAGGCCUAACACAUGCAAGUCGAACGGCAGCAUAGGAGAGCUUGCUCUCUGGGUGGCGAGUGGCGGACGGGUGAGGAAUACAUCGGAAUCUACUCUGUCGUGGGGGAUAACGUAGGGAAACUUACGCUAAUACCGCAUCCGACCUACGGGUGAAAGCAGGGGACCUGCGGGCCUUGCGCGAUUGAAUGAGCCGAUGUCGGAUUAGCUAGUUGGCGGGGUAAAGGCCCACCAAGGCGACGAUCCGUAGCUGGUCUGAGAGGAUGAUCAGCCAGACUGGAACUGAGACAAGGUCCAGGCUCCUACGGGAGGCAGCAGUGGGGAAUAUUGGACAAUGGGCGCAAGCCUGAUCCAGCCAUACCGCGUGGGUGAAGAAGGCCUUCGGGUUGCAAAGCCCUUUUGUUGGGAAAGAAAUCCAGCUGGCUAAUACCCGGUUGGGAUGACGGUACCCAAAGAAUAAGCACCGGCUAACUUCGUGCCAGCCGCCGCCGUAC
rnacentral:rRNA from 1 species